GAUCAUGGCUCAGGACGAACGCUGGCGGCGUGCUUAACACAUGCAAGUCGAACGAAGAGCGAUGGAAGCUUGCUUCUAUCAAUCUUAGUGGCGAACGGGUGAGUAACGCGUAAUCAACCUGCCCUUCAGAGGGGGACAACAGUUGGAAACGACUGCUAAUACCGCAUACGAUCUAAUCUCGGCAUCGAGGAUGGAUNAAGGUGGCCUCUAUUUAUAAGCUAUC
rnacentral:rRNA from 1 species